UUCCCCCUUCUUCUUUCUUCUUAAGCCAUGAAACCGAUAGAGGAGAUCGGUAUGAAGAAAGAAACCGAGCAGAAAAGUUAGGGUUUGUGUCGAAAUUGAAUCCGAGUACGGGUUUCGAAAUCAUGAAUCCUAAUCUAAAUUUUCGAUUCUAGCUCAGAGAAAUAAAGGUGUUGGUUAUGAACCCUUGAGUUGGUCAAUUCCAGUUGGGAUUUGAGAAUAAUCGAAAAGGGGAUUUUGGGUGUUCUUGUUUUGAGAUUGAAGAGCAACAAGAGCGCCUGAAGAUCAUACAGGACAAGUUCAAGGAGGAGAUAAACCAGCAUAUCCAGGACUGCAAGAACACACUCGAUGAUCUGCAAGCCUAUCAUAUUGAGCUAAAAGAAAAUGCAGAGAAGCAAAAUCUGUUCAUACUUUGGGAGAAUCUGUUGACUAAAAUCAACAAAGCAACGAUUGGAUGAACUUUUGAAGAACAAACUAUACCCUUCUUCAAUUUCUGUUCUCGGAGGAAGAAGAAAUCUAAUAUUUGGAUUGACCUUGGGAAGGUGCCUGGAUUUUGCUUUUAAGGCUUGUGUCGCAGAGACGUGGUAGCUAAGAAUCGAGAUGUGCAAUCACGAUACAUGGCCGUUUUUUCCUUUUCAGUGAGUAAAUUAAAACCAAAUUACUGGUGGAGCUCGUUGUGGAGUGAUGCUGAUGUUAUCGACGACUUUGUAGUUUGUACCCAACUUACAAUUGCAUGAUCAAAGGAACUAGUUAGCAUUUGCAAUCUGAAAGAUUUAUAUGGGUACUAUAUCAGAAAUGACUUUUCAGAAAAAUCUAGUGCUUUCCUCACUCCCACUUUAGCUAGAUAUGCUCCUAAAGAAAGCAACACUGAACGGGUUCGAUAGUGCUACAGACGAACUUGUAAUUCUUAAUAACUAGUGCUUACAAAUGGAACACUAAAAAUGUAUAAAAUAC